rnacentral:rRNA from 1 species
UACGGAGGGUGCAAGCAUUAAUCGGAUUUAUUGGGCGUAAAGGGCGCGUAGGCUGAAUGGUAAGUCAGAUGUGAAAUUCCGAAGCUCAACUUCGGAGCUGCAUUUGAAACUGCCAAUCUAGAGGGUAGGCGGAGAAAACGGAAUUCCACAUGUAGCGGUGAAAUGCGUAGAUAUGUGGAAGAACACCUGUGGCGAAAGCGGUUUUCUAGCUUACAACUGACGCUGAGGCGCGAAAGCAAGGGGAGCAAACAGG